rnacentral:rRNA from 1 species
GACGAACGCUGGCGGCGUGCUUAACACAUGCAAGUCGAACGGAAAGGCCCUGCUUUUGUGUGGUGCUCGAGUGGCGAACGGGUGUGUAACAUGUGAGUAUCCUGCCCUUGACUUUGGGAUAACUUCAGGCAACUGCGGCUAAUACCGGAGAGGAGCUCCUGCUGCAUGGUGGGGGUCGGACAGCUCCGGCGGUUGGGAAUGUACUCGCGGCUUAUCAGCUUGUUGGUGGGGUAGUGGCUUACCAAGGCUUGGACGGGUAGCCAGCCUGAGAGGGUGACCGGCCACAGAGGCACAGGGGAACGACCAGGAGUCAUACGGGGGGCAGGGGUGGAGACUAGAGCACGCUGUGCGGAGGCCUGAUGCAGGAACGCCGGGUGGGAAAUGACGGCAUUUGGGUUGUAAGGCGAUUUCGCUUAUGACGAGGCGUGAGUGAGGGUACUGGGUAAAGAAGCACCGGCUAAUUAGGU